AUUGAACGCUGGCGGCAGGCCUAACACAUGCAAGUCGAGCGGAGCGGCGGACGGGUGAGUAAUGCCUAGGAAUCUGCCUGGUAGUGGGGGAUGACGUCCGCAAACGGGAGCUAAUACCGCAUACUAUCAGAUGAGCCUAGGUCGGAUUAGCUAGUUGGUGGGGUAAAGGCAUACCCAGGCGAAGAUCCGUAGCUGGUCUGAGAGGAUGAUCAGUAACACUGGAACUUAGACACGGGCCAGACUCCUACGGGAGGCAGCAGUGGGGAAUAUUGGACAAUGGGCGAAAGCCUGAUCCAGCCAUGCCGCGUGUGUGAAGAAGGUCUUCGGAUUGUAAAGCACUUUAAGUUGGGAGGCGUUACCAACAGAAUAAGCACCGGCUAACUUCGUGCCAGCAGCCGCGGUAAUAC
rnacentral:rRNA from 1 species